AGAAGCACUUGAAUUGUUGGCCUCUGCCCAGUGGGUUCCCUUGGCCACGAACCCCACUCCUUUUCUGGCCUCAGUUUUCCGUCUGUGACAAGAGGGAGGCUCUGUGUCAACACCGAACACGCUUAAUUUCUGCAAGUCUCAGGAAGGGUAUAAUAGGAUAGGAUAUAAAUUACGUUCUCUUCACUCCCCAGCACCUAAUACUGUGUGGCAUGCUGUAGGUAUUUAAUAAAUACGUGUUCAAUGAAUUUAUCCUCCCAGGAAUCCCUUAAGAGAGGGGAAUUUUAGGCCAGGCGCCGUUGAUCACGCCUGUAAUCCAAACACUGGGAGGCUGAGGCGGGUGGAUCGCUUGAGCCCAAGAGUUCGAGACCAGCCUGGGCAACCCAGGGAGACCCCCUCGUCUCUACAGAAACUUAAAAAGUUAGCCGGGCAUGGUGGCGCACUCUUGUAGUCGCAGCUGCUUGGGAGGCUGAGGCAGGAGGAUCACUGGACCCCGGAAGGCGGAAGUUGCAGUGAGCUGAAAUCGCGCCACUGCACUCCAUCCUGGACAGCAGAGCGAGACUCUGUCUCAAAAAAAAAAAAAAGUAAAUUAAAGAGAGGAAUUUUAGUUCUGUGUUACAGUGGCGCUUGAGGCUACAAGUCCAAGUAUCUUCAGCUCAAGAAGAAGUUAGAAGAUGA
rnacentral:sRNA from 1 species